rnacentral:lncRNA from 1 species
AUGACCAAAAUUUCUGCGCGUGUGUGUGUCCCUGCUUGCUGGGACCAGGGCUGUGAGCAUGCAUCUUUGCACAGAGGGACUCGCAUUCCUGAGCUGUGGGGUGGGAACAGGCGCUGGGGCUUUAACCCUGUCCCCCUGCAGCCCGCAGGGGCUCUGUGGGCUGCCUUGGGGUGGGGCAGAGGAUGGGGUGAGAGGUGCAGAACUCAUGCUUCCUUCUCUCCUCUUCAGGGCAGCAGGGGCACCAUGAUCAUUGCUGUCUGCCUGGUGCUAGGUGCAGUGAUGCUUGCCUUGACCACAGCCACCCCCAACCUCUGCCAGCGUCAGGACAAGCCACCAGGGGUCCCUGCCUGGUACUGCACUGUGCCGGAGGGGGGAGCCACUCGUGUACCCCUGGACACCCCCAGCUGCAUAGUGAUAGUCCGGGCAUGGCUUGCGGAAACGUCGCAUCCAAAAACUGUCCUGGUGUGGCGCCCAGAGGGAUCCAUGCCUCGUGGCUUGAGAAACUUCACUCUGGAGGAUGGUGCCUUCACAGUCCAGAAUAUGGCCCAGCAGCUCUGCGGACGCUAUGAGAUCAGGUGCUCCCUGGAUGAUACUCUCCUGGCCAACAUCACACUGGUGCUGCUUGAGUCUACCUCGCCCUCCCCACCUGUGCACGGACCCGAAUCUCCCCACAGAAUCAUCCCUGGGGACCAGGGUGCAGAAACUUUUCCCAGUUGGGGCAUAGUCCUCAUAGUGCUUGGCAUUGUAGCCGCAGCCACAGCCACAAGUUAUCUGCUGUGCAGAUAUGAGCAUCUCUGCUGGAGCCAUGGGAACCAGAGCAAUGCAGAUGGACAGACGCGCAGCCCCAGGGAGACCCGAACGCCAUUCGCAACCGGUGAACACACGCUUGCCGAUGGUCACUUGCACACAGACCAGCACAGCAUCGCCAGCGGUUUUCUUGGUGGGGAUGACGGAGCAGAGGCUGGAAGCUUUGUCUAGUGCCUUCCCCACCAGCGAAUUCCAGCCCUCGGGUGAUGUGUAUGUGGCCCAAAUGCCUGGGUCCUGUCUGGGCUUGUACAAGGUUCCCUUUCUGCCGGACUCCUACAGCUUGUACAACCGAACAGUGCUGGAGCUAGUGCAGAAGCGGGCAUCCCCAAGCACCUUGCACAGGCAGCAUCAGAACUGCUACCUCUGUACUGUAAGAAGCUGUAUCUGCUUGCCAGUCAGUAAAGAAGAGUUGCUUGUUCCAUGGAACGACCUGAAGUUACACCAAGAAGCCAGGUUGUCUAUGUGGUUCUUGAUGUGUGUGCAUUUCUCAUAGACAAUGAGGGUUGGAAGGGAUCUCGGGAGGUCACAUCUAGUCCAACCCCCGCUCAAAGCAGAACCAGCUCCAAGCAUCUUGCUCUAACCAAGGCGUUGUCUACCCACGUCAUAAAAGUCUCCAAGAGUGGAGGUUCCACCACCUCUUUGGGCAGCUUGUGCCAGUGCUUCACCAUCCUCUUAGAUGCAGCUGUAUCUGAGAUGCAUGCACCCGCUGUCUAAAGAGAUGAUGGACAUUCAUUCGGUCAUGUGUGUUAAGUUACAUACGUGGUAGCGUUGUGGGAUGGCAUGUACACGCCAAGCCAUGAUGAUUUUUACAGAGUACAUUCAUGCAGUUUGAAUUGUCGUGCUUUGUGUUGCACUGUUCUAGACCAAAUAGAUCUAUUUAAUUUCAAUUUAGCCAUUAUUACUUAGCUUGAGCUUAAAUACUCUGCACGCUUAAUUUAUUGAAAGGUUAUAUAUUUAUAAAAUAUUUAAGCUUUUAAUAUGUGAAGAUGAAUAUAAGUUAUUAAAAAUUAAUUUACAUACACAGUAUCUUUUAAAUUUAGGUGUAAUUAAUGUUUCAUAGUUUCUAGGGUCGGAACAGACCUGAGUAGAUCAUCAAGUCUGAUCCUCUGCCAUGGCAGGAAAGAGCGCUGGGAGCAACUGACCCCAGCCAGCAAGGUAUACAUCCAGCCUC